CAGUCGCCGCGGUAAUACGUAGGUGGCAAGCGUCGUCCGGAAUUAUUGGGCGUAAAGGGCUCGCAGGCGGUUUCUUAAGUCUGAUGUGAAAGCCCCCGGCUCAACCGGGGAGGGUCAUUGGAAACUGGGAAACUUGAGUGCAGAAGAGGAGAGUGGAAUUCCACGUGUAGCGGUGAAAUGCGUAGAGAUGUGGAGGAACACCAGUGGCGAAGGCGACUCUCUGGUCUGUAACUGACGCUGAGGCUCGAAAGCCAGGGGAGCGAACGGGAUUAGAUACCCCAGUAGUCCCUGUCUCUUAUAA
rnacentral:rRNA from 1 species